rnacentral:rRNA from 1 species
AACGAACGCUGGCGGCAGGCCUAACACAUGCAAGUCGAACGAGAUCUUCGGAUCUAGUGGCGGACGGGUGAGUAACGCGUGGGAACGUGCCCUUCUCUACGGAAUAGUCCUGGGAAACUGGGUUUAAUACCGUAUACGCCCUUCGGGGGAAAGAAUUUCGGGGAAGGAUCGGCCCGCGUUGGAUUAGGUAGUUGGUGGGGUAAUGGCCUACCAAGCCGACGAUCCAUAGCUGGUUUGAGAGGAUGAUCAGCCACACUGGGACUGAGACACGGCCCAGACUCCUACGGGAGGCAGCAGUGGGGAAUCUUAGACAAUGGGGGCAACCCUGAUCUAGCCAUGCCGCGUGAGUGACGAAGGCCCUAGGGUCGUAAAGCUCUUUCAGAUGUGAAGAUGAUGACCGUAGCAUCAAAAGAGCCCCGGCUAACUUCGUGCCAGCCGCCGCGGU